AACCCAUGACCUCUGACUCCCAAGCCCGGGCUCUUUCCACUGAGCCACGCUGCUUCUCUAAUCAUCUGGAAUUGUGUGUGGAAGAAGACUUUCUGAAGCAGUGUCUACCAUAUCUGGAAUCACUGGAACAGAAACAUUUGAAUCUCUUUCUAAGCUUAGCAUAAUGGCAUCUGAUGACCCACGGUCAAAAAAACCAGACCGCUAAUGAUCAAGCACUGGGUCUCCUGGUGACCUGUGAGCCCGCUGCUGGCCAAGGAGACUACUCAUCGUAUUUUGCAACGUCCUCGGCCUGGUCUUUAAGGACGGAAGCCCGGCGGUCCGGAUAAGCCUUGGCUGCGCAGCUGACCUCCAGGGACCGAGUGGCCGGAAUUAACCGGAAAAAUGAAGAACGAAAGUACCGAAACGGCACUAGCAACCGUAGCACCUUUUGGCCUGCUGUGUGACCUUAGUCAAGUCACUUAAACUUCCUGGGCCUCGGUUUCUUCCUCUGUAACGUGGGGAUAAGAUUGAGGCCCAUGGGGGACAGGGAGCUCCAAUCGUAAUACUUCUCUCUAAUUCAGGGCUUAAUUUAUAGAAAGUGCUUAAUAAAUGUCAUAAUCUGAUCA